UCCUCCUCACUGAGAGCAAAACACUCGACUAGAUCUCCACUCUUUGCUGUCCUGCUCCUAAAUGGUGGAAGGAGGUCUCUGAAGACAUCAGGACCACAGAGAGCCUUCACAUCUUCAGACUAAAGACACACCUCUUCACACUCUACCUCCACUAAAAAGACAAAUUGUAGCACUUAAGUGGCGUUAUAAGUACAAUGCAAUUUGCUACAGAUCGAAAAGAGAAAAUGGCACAUUCUUGUUUCUUGCUCCUCUGAGUUUGUAUCCUGAGUUCACCUCCCUUUGAGUAUUUGCGCUCAUUAAAUUGCUUGAACUGAUUGAUUUGAUAAAACAUUUCUUUUUGGCAUUGAAGCUUUUUUGACCAAAACUAGUAACGCGAUGGUUUGAAAUGACCCUCUUGUGAGGAAACAGUUUGGAAGAUGUUCUUAUCAGGGAGUAAAAAAAAUGUGAAAAACACUACCACAAUUUCACACAUAGAUUUGACGUUGUGGUAAGCUGCUACGUGUCAGUCAAGUGCCGUCUGGCCCUCGUAUCCACGCCACUCGAAGCCCUUACAGACUCUCGAAGGUGACGUCAGUGAGUCCCUGAGGGUUCUGAGUCAUGCAGAAAUCCUUACACAGACGUUUAGUUUCCGUCACAAUGUGAAAGCUGAAGUGGCUUUUCAUCACACAUAUAGAAUAUUCUUGGUGAAUUCAUGUUCAUAGUUUGAUGUAUUACAAAAGGUCAACAGAGCCGAUAAAUAACGAAAAUAUCAGCAUCAAUGAAAUUGACUAGAUGGGUCACAGAUUUUUAUCUGCUUCUUUACAGAACAUACAGGAAUACCUGGCUUACAUUACCCCAAACAUAAACAUUUUCAAAUAGUCAAAUCUAAUAGAAAUACAUUUUUUGCAGCUCAGUUUGUAACGUUUGAACAAACGCUUCCAAGAUAGACAAGAACAUGGACAAAUUUGAGAUAUUUGAUUCUUUUUUUGCUGUUUUGUAUAAACUCAGAGUCAAAGCCACCACAGCCUUCUAACAACUCCGCCAUCUUCACCACAUCUCACCGUUUAAUCGUUUCACGUUUUUCUCUUGUGGACUGACUUCUUCCAAUGUGAAGUGGCUGCUCGUAAAACUACACUUUCAAAGUCGUCUCCCCCCACACGGCCAGUCGCAGCACACUCUUUGUCCAGCACAAUGUGAGCUGAGGACACAAAGGCACCACUGCAAACCCUGAGGUUUUUUGGGAGCCGUCUGUCACUCAAACCCAUUGUUGACUUGUGCAGGGCUCAGAGGACAAAGGCACUUUGUGUGAGGAGAAGGCUGGGACACGCCCUGCUUCUCCCAUAUCUCCACCUCUUAUCUGUCGCACCGUCACAUUUCUCUACAGUUUUUUUCUCUUUUACAUUUGUUUUUGUGGAAUCUAGUCUUUUAGACUAUAUUUUAGUGCUUUUUAGUGACAACAGAUUUUUAAAAUAUUCAAAAUAUUUGUUAUUAGCUCAGUGUGUCUUUUAUUGUGUAUCUCUAGUCAGUUACAAAUAAGUUAUUUGAGCAUCUUUCUAUUCAUGUUCUAAAGACUGGAAUUCCACAUUUCAUUCAAUGUAUGAAAAAGGUAUCUUGGCCAACAAGCCAAUUCUAACUUGUUAGCUCGGUCGCUAAUGGGACAUUAUUAAAUGGGAGAUUUGGUGGGGGUUGCAAUGAUCUGAUCAGCAAGACAGUCAUUUUAUACAGAGAACAGACUAAAACUGUCUCUUACACUACCAGCUAACCCUGUUCUGUUUUUUGGACUUUACAGGUGCGCUGUCGAAUAGUCAAAAAACAGUAUCUUUUUAGUACUUGACCCCUAUGGAAAUGAGGCUUAAAAAAAUCUGUGCAAAUUAACAAGGACUUAAGAAACGAAACUGGCACAACUCUUAACUUUGUUUAUCAAAAGUAGCAAACUCAAUGGCGUACCAUUUAUUCAUGAAAUCCUGUCCAAAAAAGAUCAAACUUAGGAAUGACAUUUUCAAUUCAUGAUAUACAAUUAAACAGCGUCAGCCAAAUGGCAAGUGUCUACAAAUGUUGCUGCUGCAAGGACUUGUGGGUCAGCCAUAUCAGCUGGCCGACUGUGGGUGAGUGGGGAGCAGGUCGUCCUCCAAUCAGAGGGUUGUCGGUUCCAUCCCAGGCUCUGCUAACCUGCAUGUCCAUGUGUCCUUGGGCAAGACACUUAACCCAACAUGGCUCCUGUAGCUGUGACUACAGUGUGUGGAUGUUAGUUACUGAUGGCAGGUGUCACUGUGUGUGGUUCUCCUGUCAUCAGUGGGUGAAUGGGUGAUUGUGUCAUCAGGGUGUGAAUGGGUGAAUGAUGUCAUCAGUUGUUAAAGCGCUUUGAGUGGUCAGAAGACUAGAAAAACGCUGUACGAGUACAGUCCAUUUACCAUAUUGUUUCACCUAAUGACGGUCCUCUAUUGUUUAUGCUAAAAGACAUAUCGAAGGACUCUUCCUUAGCAUUUAGAGAACAGCAAACCGCUCUUAUUGUGGCAACCACUAAAUACUUGAGGGUCUGGACCCCAGUUUGAAAUUCUAACUCUAGGCUUUAAGGGGAGGGUGGAGUUGUGGUUAGCACAGUCUCCGCACAGCAACGAGGACCUGGGUUCGAUUCCCCCAAAGGCUGUUGUGUGUUGAGUUAUCCCAAUGCUGGCUGUUAUUCAGUGGUUGUGAGAAGUAUGUAUCUGUACGACACAGAACAUUUUAAAAGGUUCAGUGUGUGAAAACAAACCAAAACAAAUCACAAAAUAAUUUACAAAAAGAAGUCAUGAAAUUCAUAUUAUAGUCAUUUGAGGGGUGGUGUGGGUUAGGGUUCGGGUUCUGAAUACUUCUCCAUACAUUUGAGAAGUAUUCAGAAUAUUUUCAAAAAGUCAUAAUACAUUUUAACUACGGCCUUUUGAGGGGACACGGUUGUGUAGUGUCGAGUUGUUUUGCUUCACUCUAUCAUCGCUCUAACAAAGAAAAACUUUCCAGAAACAUGUCACGGUGUGGUUCAUUUCCUGUCUUAUUUUGUAGUUUCUGCUUCUUGUCUCUCUGGGUAACUUCACUUCCUGCCUUUACCUGUCAUCGUCUGUGAUUGUCUGAUUGUUUCCACCUGUGUCCAAUCACCUACACCUCCCUAUUUAAGCCGUGUGUGUCUCCUGUCUCUUGUUGCGUCACUGUCUAUUGUCGUGGACGGCUCGUGGACAAAACACUGUCCAGAUGUGUGUUUUUCUGACUUUUUGUGAUUUUUUUUUUUUUUAAAUGCAAUUCUGGAAAUUUGUUUUAGUUUGCUGCUUCUGAUUUCCAGGAACAAACAUUUGCAACUAAAAGCUGAGGCUUCCACCCAAAACAAUACAGUCCAAACGGUUUUCUUUUUCAAUCCAUUCAAAUUCAUUUUAAUGGCAAAAGAUGUUACGAAAGGAAAUAUCAAAAUCUGUUUUUACAUGUGAAAAAUGGCAAUUGACGUUGAUGUGUGUGUCGGUUAAACUCCGUAUCCAAACUUUUCUUGAUAGUUUCUGAGUUUGUGGCUUCAGCUUCUUUGUUUCUCUACAAGCCUAUAACGAGACCAGCAGGUCAAAACCAAUAAUGUUUGGGAUUGUUCAAAAUCACAGGCAGUCUGGCUGUGUAGGCAUCGCAAUCCUGCCCUCUGACCCCGAUGACAUCAUAUGACUGGCUCUUGUGCGUCUUUUGUGAACCGAGGAGGUCAAGAUUAUUCAGUGGACUUUCAAAUAGGCAAAGAGUAAGUGUCUGGCAGCCCGAGGCUCUGGAUGAUUAUGUGCUUUUGCUGUGGGAGGUUCUUUCUGCAUGUAUGUGUGGUCAAUGCUAUUGACAUGGUGUGAGUCAGUGAGCGUGCGAGUGAAGGACACACAUGCAUGUUGCAGUGUGUGUGUGUGUGUGUGUGUGUGUGUGUGUGUGUGUGUAUUAUCCGUCUGGUAUCGCUUUUCAAUUGCAAGUUUGCAUCUGAUACACAAUCCUAAAACCCCUUUUUGUCUCUUUUCUUUGUAUCCAUGACAAUGACAUCAUUUAGUUGUAUUAUGGUCAUUUACAUCAGUUGAUGGUCCUAGGUAACUUAUAGUGCUGCAACUUAUAAAAAGUUACACUUGACACAAGUUGAUAUGGUGGUUUACUUAGUUUACGACUUAAAAAUAGAAAUGAAUGAAUGAAACCAGAAUAAAUCAACAAGACAGUUCUAUUGUGCAAUAUAUCUAAUACAAAGGGCUACAUAAUCAUACAAUUUACAAUAAAACCGGGUUAAAUACAAUGAAACAGCAAGUUUAAGAAGCUAUAAGACAUGGACCAGAAUUGUCUGUCCUUUGACACAUGUCUUUACACAAAAAAAACAAGAGUUGAUAUGACCUCAAAAUGACUUAAUAUUUGUGGCAAUCAACCUCUCCCACUAAACCGUCUCCUCUGCUGGUUUAUGUUCCUGAGAUGAGAAGUAAGUGUUGGAGACGUGAUGCUGCUGUUAAACUUGAGACUUUAUGGAGUCAAUCAAGUGCAGAUUAAAAUGACACAAAAUAGGACGGUGACUCCAUGAUGCAAUAAUAUAGUGCCCCUUCCUUGUCGUCUCCUUUUACUUCAUCUCAUUGCUCACAUGUUUUUUUUUCGGGGGGAAUCUUACCACACCUGCAGCUCACGUAUAUUUGAGCAAGUCCAUUCAUCUGCAGAAGAAUAACUGAUACACUUGAUUGAUUCUUUACACAGACUCACACAUGCACACGGAGCCUUGAAACUGCAUUCAUGGCCACAGGCAUGAGGAGCUUCUCCUGGUCUUUUGAGUCAACAGGGGCAGGAGGUCAAAGGUCAAACCUGCUUGAAUGAUGUCCAAAGAGAGAAGGGGAGGGUGGCAGGCCGACGGGGCUGAGUGUAGGAGGGGGAGUUCAGGACAAACAGAGGAGGAGAUAUUUUGGCGGGAAAAUGGAGACUGACUUGGUCAGACACCUCCUGCAGACAGACAGUGAGUCAGUGUCUCCCCCCCCCCCCCGGCCUGCAGGCUCUGAAUCACACUCACAUGCUCAUACGCAACCACGGAUCUAUAAAGGUGUGCAUAUAGACAUACGCACAAGCACACAGACACACACACAAACCACACCUUGAAAGCUCAUGCACUCAAACAAUGGCUGCACCCCUUGCAGUUGCCCCCCUCAUGCAGACACACUUCGAAAUGAUGUCAUCAGUUUUGGCCCCUAUGGCAUUUGGUGCAGGCAUGACUCAACAUCUUGUGUGUGUGUGUGUGUGUGUGUGUGUGUGUGUGUGUGUGUGUUAAGUUGACCUAUAAGCUCAAGGUCCACAUGAGCCAUGAUGUCACUUAUCACUGACUAAUCCUCUCGGAACCUUUUGAACAAAAUAGGACAUAGAGCGGGAAGGAGGGGAAACUGGAGGGAAAUCUUGACUUUAGCUUUGUUUUGUGUCCCUGUGUGUUUGUGUUUGGGCAGCAAAAAAAACAUUGUCCUCUGCCAACCAUAUACUUACACGUGCACAGUAUAGUGUCUUUAGUUACACACACACCGGGUACUUACAGUGAGAACUUGUAAGAAACGCAAGUAUGCCUCUUCUGCACACAAAAAAAACAGAACUAGUAAUGGCUUCCACCACAGGUACAGACAUGAAAGUGGGCAUUAGCUAACAGGGCAAAUACGCACGCAUUUAUAGUUUAAAUACUUCCACUAAAUGAGCAGUGUAUAAACACAUCACCAUCACUCCACUUCAGUGAAGUGAUCAGAGUCCGGGGCCAGAUUCAACAUCCCCUGGACCCCAGUCUGGGAAAUGAACAUGACAUGACCCACCAAGCAUGAAAGCCCAGCGAAAAGGGGGCCAAUGAGUGGCACCGGGCCCAUGCGGAUGUGGCAGGGGGGCGGGAUGUCAGCGUGGCACGUACGUGCCAGGCAGCGUGGCAGCGUGGCAGCAGAGCAGAUCAGCCACUUGGUCCCGUGCCAACGCAGGUGCGCUGAAGACAGUGACAGCGUGGCAGGAAUCCGCGGGGACAUGGAGAGACCAGCUGCUUAUAUUUCACACUCGCACAAGCGGUGUGGGCAUCUGCGUGGUAGGAUUCAAAAUAGUCUGUUUUUAAAUGAUUUGCUUGUGUGUUUUUGUAACAAUUGUGAGAUUUUCAAGAUACUAAGAGGUCAGGGUAAAAAGAGAAGAUCCACUAAUUGUGUCUUCACAUUGUGUCACUAAAUGAACAUACGCUGCCUGGCCCCAAAAAAAGUCACCACCUAAAACAAAAAUAUAUGUCACAAGAUCAUUUCAUAGCAAAACGCCUCCUCCAGCACAUCCCAAAGAUUCCCAAUGGGGUUGAGGUUCCAGACCUGAAAUGAUGUCUCAUGCCCCCUGAACCACGCUUUCACUAUUGGAGCCCAAUGAGUCCUGGCAUUGUCAUCUUGGAAUAUGCCCGUGCCAUCAAGGAAGAAAAAAUCCAUUGAUGGAAUAACCGUCAUUCAGUAUAUUCAGGUAGUCAGCUGACCUCCUUCUUAUCCAAUAGGAGGCUGGUACCUAUUUGCUUAGUGAAAUCCAGGCCAGGCAGUGUAUGGACGCCCAUAUGAGCCCUUGGAUCACAUCGGUUAAUAAGAACACAAACACUUACAUUUAAUGUCACUUUAUCUUGAGUAUGAAGGAGCGCGCAAUCAUUCACUUUAGCACUGCUGAAUUCAGUAAAUGUGGGUUUUCUACAACAGUUGGUCUGUAAGUAAAGCCAAGUUAUGACUGAGAAAUGUGACACGCUUCAUGCAGAAUACAAUCACUCACUGUAGCCGCGUGAAGACGUCUUUCUCCCACCGUCACAUGAGCUGCAGUUAAAACGAGACGGUUUGUAAAUCCCACAGAGACUGGAAACAAGGACAUGUUGUAUGGACUUAAAUGGCUACUAUGCUAAAAGGUUAAGAAGUUGUGUGGAUGAAGGUACGAUUCUGCUUGAUGCUUAAAAAUAUAACAACAGUAUAUUUCAGGCCGUUCUACUCUGAUGUUGCCCAGUUGUUGUUUUUCCAAGUCCCAAAACUUGAUGUUUUUCAUAGAGGCGUCACUCAAAUAUUAAAUCCGACACCCACUUUGAUACAAAGGUCAUGACUUAUUAUUUUUAGCGAGUUUUGCACAAGGAAGUAAAAGUAAUGAGCAUUGAGGAAAAUCACAUUGCCCCGGACAUAAAAUGUUGUUUGACAGAUGCACACAAUGACAACAAAAAAGAAUCUGCGUAUCUCGUCUCUUUAGUACGAGCAGUUCUUCCAAAAGAAUUUCAACAGACUGUGUGUGUGUGUGUGUGUGUGUGUGUGUGUGUGUGUGUGUGUCUUUUUCGUUGGGGGGCUCAGGUCUCAUCCAUCAGCAGCAGGCCACGCCCCCUGCAAUGUAUUUAUCAUCCUCUCAAGUAAUGGCUGCCUCGGGUUGCUUUAACUCAGCUUUCUGGUGAAUCCCUCCAUCGUCUGGUCCACUGGCUGUGGUUCACACUCACUUUCAUUGAAGGGCGGUGAGGAAAAUCUGGAGCUGUUUCCUUUUUCUUCUUCCGUGUCGGGGCAGAACUAUCUUCCCACUUCACAAAUAUUUGAGGGUAUUGGUAAAUUCUUUAGGUCGGUUCAAGGUGACCUCCGAGUUGUUGAUACGGUAGUUUGCAGUAUUUCUUCCAUCUGGCUCAGUAACACCUUGUUCUAACUUCUGACCUCACAAUAGUGCUUGGUGCUCUUUGCAAUCACGUACAAGACUACACCUUGAAUGUGAAGGGAUCUCACACACACACACACACACACGCACACACACACACACACGCACGCACGCACACGCUUCAGGAAAUGAACCCCAUUACCUCUACAUCAAGUAUGAAAAGUGCUACCAAAACAGCACAGUCACUAUUUUACACAGAGUAAGCCUUUCACUGAUACCAUCCACACACAAUCAAUGCAUGCACAUACACACACACACACACACACACACACACCGCCACCCAAACAAAGAGGCAGUUCUCUCCAACAAGGGUGUGACUGACCAGAGGUGGGCCGCUAGAGUGAGGUUGGGCUGUAGACUGUGUGUGUGUGUGUGUGUGUGUGUGUGUGUGUGUGUGUUCUGCUCACACAUGCAGAGACACACUAAGUGGUGCAGUAAUUGAAGCAGUAGACCAGAUCUCUCUCUCUCAAACAGCAGCAGCAUCACCCUUUGGUUCCUGUCACCUUCUUCUCCAUCUGCAGCAGCAUAUUUGGGCCUUCAAGCAUCAGCUUAUAUUUUAGUUUUAGGGUGAAAUGUGAUCCAGACAUCUUUGAGUGAAGCAAUAACUCUAAUAAAGGGAGGGAGGGAGGGAGGGAAAGGGGGACAUUCAGCAGGCAAACAUCGCCCCCAGUUGGUGAGAGGCGUCGGCACAUGAGCAUCCACUGGAUUCAUGAUCAUCUGGGAUUUGAUGUGAAAGGGGGGCAGUGAUCGAAAUACCCUCAAUCAAAAGUGAAGCUGGAUUUUAAAACAAUUUUACUUGUAUGACCGAGACGUAAUUCGGAACUUUAUUGAUCCUGGUGAAAAAGAUCAAACUUUUAUGGGAAUACAAAAAUGUUAAACAAACUUUACAAUGCUAAUACACGUGAAAAUGUCAGUUCCCACUAUAAUAAAAGCACUUAUGUAUAUUUUCAUCAUCCGUGUGAUACGGGUGAAAACGAAAAGAUGUUACACAACGGUAGAGAAGAAUGAGUGUCUUAUACAUCCAUUUACUGUCCACAUUGUAGAGAUUUAGAAGCUCCGUAAUUCAAUGUCAUGUGAUGAAUUCUGCUACCUUUAGUUUUAAUAAUCUGUGAUCAAUAACUGAUAAUAGAUGAGAGAAAACCUUUUUCUGUUAGUCAACCAGCAAAGCAAAGAGCCGUUCUUCAUAUCAAUUAUUAUCAGUCAACAAAAUGAACUGAGAAGAGAAUUCCAGAACAUUACAACGUGUUUGAAUUAAAAAUCCAAAAUAACACCCACAAAAUAAUUCAAAGAUGUUGACUUUCUUUAGCUGUUGUUUGCAGUUUAGAGGAAUUUAGAUUAUUUAUCCAAACAUCGGAAACAGUGACAAACUAUUACACACAGACUUCAUCCUGCUGUUGUCAGGAGAAAACACACAAUCUUUCUCUCUCAUGCAAACACACACCUUCUGGCUCAGAGGGCAAAUAGGGAACAAACACAAAAUGAUCUAUAGUGUUACACCUGAUAACUAAUGUUACAACUUUGCAUUGAUUCUCUCUAUUGUUCAUUGUACACACAGUGGAAUGCAAACACACUCAAGUUGUUCUGUUAUGAACAAAGUCUCAUAAAUGAUGUGAUCUCUGUUGAUCUUUUCUUUUAUGUUUUUAAGAAAUCAGAAAAUAAACAAUUCUUUAAAUGUGUAUUUCAUGUGUGUGUUUUGAAGACAAUGACCUCACAAGAGCAAGUAUGUUGUUAUUAUCAAAGACAGGCGAUUAUUCCCACGUUGACACAGUUUCAUACUCAGAUGUUGAAAUGUCCUGUUUUGCCUUUGGGGUGUCCGACAAAUAGGGCCACAUCCCUGUGAUAUGAAGAGUUAUUAACUUUACAGCUUUUCAGUCUUUGUUCUGUGACGAGGUUGACCUCACAAAAAUAACAAGAAAUGAUUCAAUAUGUUUCCGUUGCUGUCUGGAAUAAAUGAUGACAAUAUGGUGAGUUCAUUGAGGCUUUUAACACAAUAAGCUCAUUAUGUUAUUAUGAUGCAAACAUCAGCACAGCUUUCCAAAGCCACUCAGUUCUGUCAGUCAUCUGUCAUCCAUUGUUGGGCUCUUAAUCCCACCAUUGACCGUGAGGUCCAUUUCCACCAUCGGGGACCCAGAAUUAAUCAGCAGACUUAAAUUAGCCCUGGGCAAUUAAAACACCCAGCAAAUGGUUAAUUAAUUGACCUCGGUGGUCAUUAAACAAUUCAUGAAAUCAAUAAGGGAUCAAUGAUCAACAGCGACCUUUCCUGCUCGGGCCAGAUGGGCUGUGGGGAUGAAAUGAGCUUUAUUUCCCAGACAGAUGGAUACGUAUAACCCUCAUCCUGCGCCUCCUCCCCCCUCCGCAUCCUCAACUCUCCCCCCUGAAGCAAAGCUUUUAUUUUCUAACCCUGAGGACACAGUGACGUCGGCCUAAGCUCUGUGUUUUCUCCUCCGUCUCAAGCCAAGAAGAAAAAUAAAGGACUCAUGAAGGAUUUGGACUAAACCGAUAUUCUGAUGUAAUUCAAUUUGUCUUUGAGAGCAAAGAAAAGCACAAUAAAAAAUAACUUUUCACUAAAAGUGUUAUGUAACAUGUUUGGCAUUGUAGCUUUAAAGGUUACUCAAAGAUUAUGAAAGUUAGUGAGUGACUCCAUUUUUUGUCCAUCCAUUAAUCAGUUCCUGCACAUAAUUCCAGCUCUAUUUAAUCAACAACAUCUCUAUCUAGAUAUCAUCUGUUUUCCGUUGGAAGCAGAUUGUCUGUGACCUGAAAAAUAAAAAGAGGAUUAAUGUUUGAUUACAAUAAAACACAAUUGAGCUGUUUCCCUGCACCUGCUCAUAGCGGCCACGUUACAGUCUCAAGAGAUUCGUCUCUUAUCCGCCAAAUAUGUGUAAAAAGGACAUUUCUAAACGUGUCCUCCUGCAGGGACAAAUGCUCUCAGAGACAUCGGGCUCUUCUUUUCCUCGGCCAUCUCUGGAAACGAGGUUUAUUCCUGACCAGUGUGGCCAGUAAGGACAAAGGAGCAGCGCUUUCUACCACCUCCAUCUCCCCCUCCUCCCCCUCCCUCUCCUCAUCUAAACCCCCCGGACCCCCACAGACUCCCCCAUCCCCCAAAACACUCACAGCCACAGAGCCCCCCCCUGUCAGCUGGCGAUGAGUCGUGUUACGUAGUGUGUAAAUAGAUGAGGAUGACGGACUUCGAUCUGCACACUGAGGAGGUUUGUGAAUGUUUUAACACGAUCUACAUCAAGAAAGUAACAUCCAUUUUAAACGACUUAAUAAUAGUAACAGAUUAGACAAAAAAGGAGGUGACAUUUUGUUGUGUAAAAGCUGAAAUCUUCCUUGAAAUAAAGAACAAGGCUGGUGUUUUACUUCCUGUUCCAGUCGUUAAUAAAUCCCACGGAAGAUGCGACGCAUCUGUGGUGAAGAAGAGGAAAGUAUUUGCUACUUUUAGUGGUGAAUUCACUCACCAGGAGACACUGUGUCGGCCUUCGUGUAGCGGCCUCCCAGCACUACUUUGUGUGGAUGACACAAGAACCCAGCCGGUUCUUUGCGACCCACAAGUCGGCCUUCAGCAUUCGGAUCCAUUCAUUGUCACUUUGGUGGUGAUGUCAUCGCUGUUUGGUCCAACCCACACAGCUCCACACACACACACACACACACACACACACAUCGCCAGCCUCCCCCCUCCCCUCGCAGCACCGGCCAGCUGUCUCUCCUGCUGCUCUCAGCUGACGGAGUAGGGUGGGGGGGGUUGGAGUGGGUGGGUUGACAGCUGAGCAGAUGCAGAAGCCCUUUCUGGGUUCGCCGGGGACGGGGUCUUUCCCAGCCACCCCCCAGCCGAGCAGCUGCCCAGGCACCAGCUGUCCCGAUGGUCGCGCCCCGAGCAGAGCAGGGACGGGGCUGGGACGGGGCUGGGACGGGGCAGGGACGGAGCAGGGACGGGGCAGUGACGGGGCAGGGACGGGGCAGGGACGGGGCAGGGACGGAGCACGGACGGGGCAGGGGCGGGGCAGGGAC
ensembl:lncRNA